UACGAAGGGGGCUAGCGUUGCUCGGAAUCACUGGGCGUAAAGGGUGCGUAGGCGGGUCUUUAAGUCAGGGGUGAAAUCCUGGAGCUCAACUCCAGAACUGCCUUUGAUACUGAAGAUCUUGAGUUCGGGAGAGGUGAGUGGAACUGCGAGUGUAGAGGUGAAAUUCGUAGAUAUUUGCAAGAACACCAGUGGCGAAGGCGGACUUACUGGUCCGGUUCUGACGCUGAGGCGCGAAAGCGUGGGGAGCAAACAGG
rnacentral:rRNA from 1 species